UCCAGACUCCUACGGGAGGCAGCAGUGAGGAAUAUUGGUCAAUGGUCGGGAGACUGAACCAGCCAAGCCGCGUGAGGGAAGACGGCCCUAUGGGUUGUAAACCUCUUUUGUCGGAGAACGAAACCCGGGACGUGUCCCGGACUGCGUGUAUCCGAAGAAAAAGCAUCGGCUAACUCCGUGCCAGCAGCCGCGGUAAUACGGAGGAUGCGAGCGUUAUCCGGAUUUAUUGGGUUUAAAGGGUGCGUAGGCGGACUUGUAAGUCAGGGGUAAAAGCCCGGGGCCCACCCCCGGCGAGCCGUUGAAACUGGCUGUCUUGAGAUGUCGAGAGGUAUGCGGAAUGCGCAGUGUAGCGGUGAAAUGCUUAGAUAUUGCGCAGAACUCCGAUUGCGAAGGCAGCAUACCGGCGGCGAUCUGACGCUGAGGCACGAAAGCGUGGGUAUCGAACAGGAUUAGAUACCCGAGUAA
rnacentral:rRNA from 1 species